rnacentral:rRNA from 1 species
UACGUAGGGUGCAAGCGUUGUCCGGAAUUAUUGGGCGUAAAGAGCUCGUAGGCGGUUUGUUGCGUCGGCUGUGAAAUCCCGAGGCUCAACCUCGGGUCUGCAGUCGAUACGAGCAAACUAGAGUGUUGCAGGGGAGACUGGAAUUCCCGGUGUAGCGGUGAAAUGCGCAGAUAUCGGGAGGAACACCCGUAGCGAAGGCGGCACUCUGGGCCGGUACUGACGCUGAGGAGCGAAAGCGUGGGGAGCAAACAGG